AGUUAAAAAUUUCAUCUGUUUGUAUUGCAAAAAGCUGGCCUGGCUGAUAGAAUAACCAAACAGUACUGAUAUGUGGCAUGCUAUGCGUACAAUAUGCUGACAUACAAUGAUCAAUUUUUAAUAGUAGAAAUAGAUGAAAUUUUUAACA
rfam:Gossypium arboreum cultivar AKA8401 contig_28912_1, whole genome shotgun sequence.